GGGUACUUGUACCUGGUGGCGAGCGGCGGACGGGUGAGUAAUGCCUAGGAAUCUGCCUGGUAGUGGGGGAUAACGCUCGGAAACGGACGCUAAUACCGCAUACGUCCUACGGGAGAAAGCAGGGGACCUUCGGGCCUUGCGCUAUCAGAUGAGCCUAGGUCGGAUUAGCUAGUUGGUGAGGUAAUGGCUCACCAAGGCUACGAUCCGUAACUGGUCUGAGAGGAUGAUCAGUCACACUGGAACUGAGACACGGUCCAGACUCCUACGGGAGGCAGCAGUGGGGAAUAUUGGACAAUGGGCGAAAGCCUGAUCCAGCCAUGCCGCGUGUGUGAAGAAGGUCUUCGGAUUGUAAAGCACUUUAAGUUGGGAGGAAGGGCAUUUACCUAAUACGUAAGUGUUUUGACGUUACCGACAGAAUAAGCACCGGCUAACUCUGUGCCAGCAGCCGCGGUAAUACAGAGGGUGCAAGCGUUAAUCGGAAUUACUGGGCGUAAAGCGCGCGUAGGUGGUUUGUUAAGUUGAAUGUGAAAUCCCCGGGCUCAACCUGGGAACUGCAUUCAAAACUGGCAAGCUAGAGUAUGGUAGAGGGUGGUGGAAUUUUCUGUGUAGCGGUGAAAUGCGUAGAUAUAGGAAGGAACACCAGUGGCGAA
rnacentral:rRNA from 1 species